GAUGAAGAACGCAGCGAAAUGCGAAAAGUAGUGUGAAUUGCAGAAUUCAGUGAAUCAUCGAAUCUUUGAACGCACAUUGCGCCCCCUGGUAUUCCGGGGGGCAUGCCUGUCCGAGCGUCAUUACAACCCUCAAGCUCAGCUUGGUGUUGGGCCCCGCCGCCCCGGCGGGCCCUAAAGUCAGUGGCGGUGCCGUCCGGCUCCGAGCGUAGUAAUUCUUCUCGCUCUGGAGGCCCGGUCGUGUGCUCGCCAGCAACCCCCAAUUUUUUUCAGGUUGACCUCGGAUCAGGUAGGGAUACCCGCUGAACUUAAGCAUAUCAAUAAGCGGAGGA
rnacentral:misc_RNA from 1 species